AAAUUGAAGAGUUUGAUCAUGGCUCAGAUUGAACGCUGGCGGCAGGCCUAACACAUGCAAGUCGAGCGGUAGCACAGAGAGCUUGCUCUCGGGUGACGAGCGGCGGACGGGUGAGUAAUGUCUGGGAAACUGCCUGAUGGAGGGGGAUAACUACUGGAAACGGUAGCUAAUACCGCAUAACGUCGCAAGACCAAAGUGGGGGACCUUCGGGCCUCAUGCCAUCAGAUGUGCCCAGAUGGGAUUAGCUAGUAGGUGGGGUAACGGCUCACCUAGGCGACGAUCCCUAGCUGGUCUGAGAGGAUGACCAGCCACACUGGAACUGAGACACGGUCCAGACUCCUACGGGAGGCAGCAGUGGGGAAUAUUGCACAAUGGGCGCAAGCCUGAUGCAGCCAUGCCGCGUGUGUGAAGAAGGCCUUCGGGUUGUAAAGCACUUUCAGCGGGGAGGAAGGCGGUGAGGUUAAUAACCUCACCGAUUGACGUUACCCGCAGAAGAAGCACCGGCUAACUCCGUGCCAGCAGCCGCGGUAAUACGGAGGGUGCAAGCGUUAAUCGGAAUUACUGGGCGUAAAGCGCACGCAGGCGGUCUGUCAAGUCGGAUGUGAAAUCCCCGGGCUCAACCUGGGAACUGCAUUCGAAACUGGCAGGCUAGAGUCUUGUAGAGGGGGGUAGAAUUCCAGGUGUAGCGGUGAAAUGCGUAGAGAUCUGGAGGAAUACCGGUGGCGAAGGCGGCCCCCUGGACAAAGACUGACGCUCAGGUGCGAAAGCGUGGGGAGCAAACAGGAUUAGAUACCCUGGUAGUCCACGCCGUAAACGAUGUCGAUUUGGAGGUUGUGCCCUUGAGGCGUGGCUUCCGGAGCUAACGCGUUAAAUCGACCGCCUGGGGAGUACGGCCGCAAGGUUAAAACUCAAAUGAAUUGACGGGGGCCCGCACAAGCGGUGGAGCAUGUGGUUUAAUUCGAUGCAACGCGAAGAACCUUACCUGGUCUUGACAUCCACAGAACUUUCCAGAGAUGGAUUGGUGCCUUCGGGAACUGUGAGACAGGUGCUGCAUGGCUGUCGUCAGCUCGUGUUGUGAAAUGUUGGGUUAAGUCCCGCAACGAGCGCAACCCUUAUCCUUUGUUGCCAGCGGUUCGGCCGGGAACUCAAAGGAGACUGCCAGUGAUAAACUGGAGGAAGGUGGGGAUGACGUCAAGUCAUCAUGGCCCUUACGACCAGGGCUACACACGUGCUACAAUGGCAUAUACAAAGAGAAGCGACCUCGCGAGAGCAAGCGGACCUCAUAAAGUAUGUCGUAGUCCGGAUUGGAGUCUGCAACUCGACUCCAUGAAGUCGGAAUCGCUAGUAAUCGUAGAUCAGAAUGCUACGGUGAAUACGUUCCCGGGCCUUGUACACACCGCCCGUCACACCAUGGGAGUGGGUUGCAAAAGAAGUAGGUAGCUUAACCUUCGGGAGGGCGCUUACCACUUUGUGAUUCAUGACUGGGGUGAAGUCGUAACAAGGUAACCGUAGGGGAACCUGCG
rnacentral:rRNA from 1 species